rnacentral:rRNA from 1 species
GAUGGCUCCCACGUCCAAGGAUGGCAGCAGGCGCGAAAAUUGUCCACUCUUUUGAGAGGAGACAGUUAUGAAACGUGAGUAGAAGGGUCGAGUGUAAAAACCUUGACGUGAAGCAAUUGGAGGGCAAGUUUUGGUGCCAGCAGCCGCGGUAAUUCCAACUCCAAGAGUGUCUAUGGUGGAUGCUGCAGUUAAAGGGUCCGUAGUCGUAGAUGCAAUUAAAAGGUGGUGUUAAAAGCCAUUGAGUUUGUUGAGAGUAGCGGAACGGAUAGGGAGCAUGGUAUAGGUGGGCAAAGAAUGAAAUCUCAAGACCCCACCUGGACCAACGGAGGCGAAAGCGAUGCUCUUAGACGUAUCUGGGGAUCAAGGACGAAGGCUAGAGUAUCGAAAGUGAUUAGACACCGCUGUAGUUCUAGCAGUAAACUAUGCCGACAAUGCUGGGUGUUGCGAGAGCGAUGCUUGGUGUGGGAGAAAUCUUAGUUUUCGGGCUCUGGGGAUAGUACGCUCGCAAGGGUGAAACUUAAAGCGAAAUUGACGGAAGGACACUACCAGGAGUGGAUUGUGCUGCUUAAUUUAACUCAACGCGGGAAAACUUACCAGGGUCAAGUCUAUCGUAGAUUGGAGACAUGAGGUAGACAAGAGUGGUGCAUGGCCGUUGGAAAUUGAUGGGGCGACUUUUAGCUUAAGUGCUGGAACCAGUGAGAUCUUCUAGACAGGUGUUAUUUAGGCACAGGAGGGAGAAGGCAAUAACAGGUCCGUGAUGCCCUUAGAUAUCCUGGGCAGCAAGCGCAAUACAAUAUCUCUUGAGAAGACAAAGCAAUUUGAGAUGAGUAGGAUUAGCUUUUGUAAAUAAGCUAUGAAUGAGGAAUUCCUAGUAACAGUGUCUCAUCAAGGCAUUG